rnacentral:tRNA from 5 species
GCGAAAGUAGCUCAAUUGGUAGAGCUCCAGCCUUCCAAGCUGGAGGUUGCGGGUUCGAGACCCGUCUUUCGCUCCA